CCCUUAGAUGUUCUGGGCCGCACGCGCGCUACACUGAUGCAUUCAACGAGUUUCUUCCUGGUCCGAGAGGAAUGGGUAACCUUUUGAAAGUGCAUCGUGAUAGGGAUGGACUAUUGCAAUUAUUGGUCUUCAACGAGGAAUUCCUAGUAGACGUAGCUCAUCAGACUGCAUCGAUUACGUCCCUGCCCUUUGUACACACCGCCCGUCGCUCCUACCGAUUGAAUGCUAAGGUGAGCCAUUCGGACUUUCAUCAUGCUGGUUUCCAGUUUUGAUGAAGGAAAGUCUCGCAAACCUUAUCAUCUAGAGGAAGGAGAAGUCGUAACA
rnacentral:rRNA from 1 species